GGUGAACGCUAGCGGUGCGCCUAACACAUGCAAGUCGAGCGGGAUUAUUUCAAAAGCUUGCUUUUGAAAUAUGAGAGCGGCGAACGGGUGAGUAACACGUUGGAAUCUGCCCCCAAGUCAGGGAUAGCCUAGUGAAAACUAGAUUAAUACCGGAUAGUCUCUUUGGAGUAAAAAUUUAUUGCUUGGGGAGGAGCCUGCGUUCUAUCAGCUAGUUGGUGAGGUAAAAGCUUACCAAGGCUAUGACGGAUAACUGGUCUGAGAGGAUGAUCAGUCACAAUGGAACUGAGACACGGUCCAUACUCCUACGGGAGGCAGCAGUGAGGAAUCUUCCACAAUGGACGAAAGUCUGAUGGAGCGACACCGCGUGAAGGAUGAAGGCCUAACGGUUGUAAACUUCUUUUCUGAAGGAGCAUAAUGAGAGUACUUCAGGAAUAAGGGACGGCUAAACACGUGCCAGCAGCCGCGGUAAUACGUGUGUCUCGAGCGUUACCCGGGAAUCACUGGGUGUAAAGGGUUUGUAGGUGGUAUUUUAAGUCAGGUAUGAAAGACCGGAGCUUAACUCCGAGUUUGUGCUUGAAACUGGAAUACUAGAAUCAGGGAGAGGUAAGCGGAAUUCUAAGUGUAGGGGUGCAAUCCGUAGAUACUUAGAGGAACACCAAAAGCGAAGGCAGCUUACUGGAACUGUAUUGACGCUGAGAAACGAAAGCGUGGGGAGCGAAAAGGAUUAGAUACCCUUGUAGUCCACGCCCUAAACGAUGACAACUAAGUGUUGCAUAUAAAGAUGCAGUGCUGUAGCUAACGCGUUAAGUUGUCCACCUGAGGAGUACGGUCGCAAGAUUAAAACUCAAAAGAAUAGACGGGGACCCACACAAGCAGUGGAUCACGUGGUUUAAUUCGAUAAUAAACGGGGAACCUUAUCCAGACUUGACAUCCUAAGAAUACUUUAGAGAUAGAGUAGUGCUCGCAAGAGAGCUUAGAGACAGGUGCUGCAUGGUUGUCGUCAGCUCGUGCCUUGAGGUGUUCGGUUAAGUCCGUUAACGAGCGCAACCCAUAUCCUUAGUUACAAUGUCUAAGGAGACUGCCUUGGUUAACAAGGAGGAAGGUGUGGAUGACGUCAAAUCAGCAUGGCUUUUACGUCUGGGGCUACACACAUGAUACAAUGGUAUGUACAAAGAGUAGUGAAAUCGCGAGAUGGAACCAAUCUUUAAAACAUAUCUCAGUCCGGAUUGGAGUCUGCAACUCGACUCCAUGAAGUUGGAAUUGCUAGUAAUCGUAAAUCAGAUAUGUUACGGUGAAUGUGUUCCUGGGUCU
rnacentral:rRNA from 1 species